rnacentral:rRNA from 1 species
UACGUAGGGGGCAAGCGUUGUCCGGAUUUAUUGGGCGUAAAGAGCGUGUAGGCGGCUAGAUAGGUCCGUUGUGAAAACUCGAGGCUCAACCUCGAGACGUCGAUGGAAACCAUCUGGCUAGAGUCCGGAAGAGGAGAGUGGAAUUCCUGGUGUAGCGGUGAAAUGCGCAGAUAUCAGGAAGAACACCCGUGGCGAAGGCGGCUCUCUGGGGCGACG